UGGGGAAUAUUGCACAAUGGGGGGAAACCCGUGAUGCAGCGACGCCGCGUGAGCGAAGAAGUAUUUCGGUAUGUAAAGCUCUAUCAGCAGGGAAGAAAAAAUGACGGUACCUGACUAAGAAGCACCGGCUAAAUACGUGCC
rnacentral:rRNA from 1 species